rnacentral:rRNA from 1 species
GACGAACGCUGGCGGCGUGCUUAACACAUGCAAGUCGAACGGAAAGGCCCUGCUUUUGUGGGGUGCUCGAGUGGCGAACGGGUGAGUAACACGUGAGUAACCUGCCCUUGACUUUGGGAUAACUUCAGGAAACUGGGGCUAAUACCGGAUAGGAGCUCCUGCUGCAUGGUGGGGGUUGGAAAGUUUCGGCGGUUGGGGAUGGACUCGCGGCUUAUCAGCUUGUUGGUGGGGUAGUGGCUUACCAAGGCUUUGACGGGUAGCCGGCCUGAGAGGGUGACCGGCCACAUUGGGACUGAGAUACGGCCCAGACUCCUACGGGAGGCAGAAGUGGGGAAUAUUGCACAAUGGGCGGAAGCCUGAUGAAGCAACGCCGCGUGAGGGAUGACGGCCUUCGGGUUGUAAACAGCUUUCGCCUGUGACGAAGCGUGAGUGACGGUAAUGGGUAAAGAAGCACCGGCUAACUACGUG